CCUACGGGUAGCAGCAGUGAGGAAUAUUGGUCAAUGGGCGCGAGCCUGAACCAGCCAAGUAGCGUGAAGGAUGACGGCCCUACGGGUUGUAAACUUCGUUUAUAAAGGAAUAAAGUGAGGCACGUGUGCCUUUUUGUAUGUGCUUUAUGCAUAAGGAUCGGCUAACUCCGUGCCAGCAGCCGCGGUAAUACGGAUGUGCCGAGCGUUAUCCGGAGUUAGUGGGUUUAAAGGGAGCGUAGAUGGGUUGUUAAGUCAGUUGUGAAAGUUUGCGGCUCAACCGUAAAAUUGCAAUUGAUACUGGCAGUCUUGAGUACAGUUGAGGUCGGCGGAAUUCGUGGUGUAGCGGUGAAAUGCGUAGAUAUCACGAAGAACUCCGAUUGCGAAGGCAGCUUACUAAACUUCCACUGACAUUGAUGCUCGAAAGUGUGGGUAUCAAACAGGAUUAGAUACCCUUGUAGUC
rnacentral:rRNA from 1 species